rnacentral:scRNA from 1 species
CUCACGUGGUGAAAACGACGUGCAUAGUCUCCUCUGAACACCGAGAAAGUUAGAGAAGCUUGAC